rnacentral:rRNA from 1 species
AUGGGGGAAACCCUGAUCCAGCCAUCCCGCGUGUAUGAUGAACNGCCUUCGGGUUAGUACAAGUACUUUAUGGCAGAGAAGAAAAGGUAUCUCCUAAUACGAGAUACUGCUGACGGUAUCUGCAGAAUAAGCACCGGCUAACUACGUGCCAGCAGCCGCGGUAAUACGUAGGGUGCAAGCGUUGAAUCGGAAUUACUGGGCGUAAAGCGUGUGUAGGCGGUUCGGAAAGAAAGAUGUGAAAUCCCAGGGCUCAACCUAGGAACUGCAUACUUUAACUGCCGAGCUAGAGUAUGUCAGAGGGGGGUAGAAUUCCACGUGUAGCAGUGAAAUGCGUAGAUAUGUGGAGGAAUACCGAUGGCGAAGGCAGCCCCCUGGGAUAAUACUGACGCUCAGACACGAAAGCGUGGGGAGCAAACAGGAUUAGAUACCCUGGUAGUCCACGCCCUAAACGAUGUCAACUAGCUGUUGGGGCCGUUAGGCAUUAGUAGCGCAGCUAACGCGUGAAGUCGACCGCCUGGGGAGUACAGUCGCAAGAUG